rnacentral:lncRNA from 1 species
CCAUCCACUUGGCUAUCGGAGAUCUAAUUCCAUCACAACCGAUAACAAUCUGUUGAAGAAACAUAUUCAAUAACCCAAUUUCUUUCAACACAGCAACGUUGAAACUUGAGGUCUACUAACCUUUGCAAGCAACGUAGUCCCAUUGGUAAGUUGCAAAAGAGUUUCACCAUUUUCACUCGAUUGAAUCUUUCCUAACUUGGAAGAGAACCGAACUGUCUCAGGUGGUAACUCGUUGGCAAGCGUCUCCAGUAGUAUUCUCCGCUCCACAGCACGAACUUCUUGGCUGCCGAAGCAAAAAAGGUUCGAAUAUUAGUUUGUCGAAACAAAGAAUGCAAUUGUCUCCAAAGAAUGUUCAUUACGUUUGAUCUUCGUCUUUGAAUUUGAAGGAGCGUAACUCCCUUCCAUCUUCUGAAUUCACCGCCAUCCUGCACAGCUGAUGCAAUUAACAAGUUCAGAAUAUGGUAAGCCAUAACUAAUUAGGUCUAAAAACGUAGGUUCCAAGUCCCCGUACUUAAUGAAGUUUGAUAAAUAUUAGGAGUUAAAUUUGUUUUUAUAAUUUAAUAUUUUGUGUAAGUAUAUCUCAUAAUAAUCAAAUUUCGAUGAAAAGUAUUAAAAAUGUUAAUAAUUUUAUUAUAAUUUUUAUUAUUAAAGUACCGAGAUUAAAUUUAAAAAUUCGCUAAAGCUAAACUCACUUUAGAAUGUUUGGUUUUUAUAUAAAUAUCCGUUAGAAUUAGCAAGAAGCAUGUGAAAUUGACAUAUAUACCCUUGAAUUUCAAGAAAUUGGCCCCUGAGAGUAUCAGCAACACCAAUGGCAUCCAAUACCCGCCACCCAUUCUUGAAAAGGGUAAGUGAGGUUCCACCAGUUCUAAGCGACGCUGCUUGCUCAAGCACCACUGACCCAAUCCCUAGCCUGAUUAUGUAUAUAUAUAUAUGAUUUUAAUCUCUUAACAUGAAAACAAAUUAAAUGGCAAAAAUUUCUAUUUUUGUUUUGCAGACCUGCGAAGAGACACGGCAGUGGCGAGACCAGCAAUCCCAGCUCCGACGAUGACGAUAUCUUCUUUUCGUACACCAGCUGAAGCUUUAAUGUUGACUGAG